rnacentral:lncRNA from 1 species
AGGGAAGCACGUGUAAACCGGGCCAGGGUUGCAUCAUGAGCGGGCUCGGGUUUUCGAUUGCACCCUUCGUAAUACCUCAGCAUCAGUCUGCACGAGCUCAGGAGCCCGGGAGCUACGAAGGGCAGGCUCAAGGGAGCGCCACCAAAUCCUUUGGGGUGGGGGGACUUGAAUGGCAGCCGAUAGCUAAUAAGCCAGUGUUCUGCUGAUUCACAAUUAUGGAGACUGUGUAAUUGAAGAUAGAAGAGAGGUCUGAAGAAAAAGGAUUUGCCUGCGUUGCUUCUGAAUGUGCUGGACCUGGAACCCUGGACCUUGUGCAUGCUAGCAAGUGCAUGGAUUAACCAGGCAGUGGUGAAACUGCUUCACGACAGAGGUCAGGAAACUAUUUAUUGCCUAUAAGACCAGUCAGCCAUAGUUUGUCUUUGUGGGUAAAGAUGUCUUUGGACAUUUUGUCAUCUGUCCAUUUGCUUUUUACUGACUCUACUCCCACUUAGAGUACAAUACUUGCCUUGACAGCAUAGUCACAAUAUCCAUGAUAUCUUAAUGAGAUGUACAUUUUAUCUACAUUGAUUAUGUUAUGGGCUUCCUGUGUGCGUCUUUGUUCUUAGAUGUCCAUAAUAUGAACCAUUGACUUUAUUAAAAAUGCCUAGCUAAGGAGCAUAGCUUGAAAGAUACAGAACAUUGUCAUUUUCUUUGAUUAAGAAAAAUGAGAACAAUGCUCACAAUAGAGUUACAUAGUGGCAGUUAAUUGUGUGUGUAUUCUGCCAGCCAGCCCUCUCCAUCUCCU